CGGGGUGUAGCGGAGUUGGUACCGCACUUCAUUUGGGAUGAAGGGAUCGCGUGUUCGAGUCACGUCACUCCGACCA
rnacentral:tRNA from 1 species